rnacentral:lncRNA from 1 species
GGGUCAUUAGGAUGUUUAAAAUCUUUGAUGAGCAAUCGUGGAUAUAUAUAUUUAAGAAACGGUUUUGUGUAUCAAACUAGUUAUAACAAGUGUGGUGCUGCUUUGGUACACAUGGAUGACAUAUCAUGAAUUCGUUGCAAUGAUAAAAAAAGUAUCAAAUAUGACAAAAAUUAAAUGAAUGUGUAUAGACGCAUGGAAAAAAGAGAAAUGGAAGCCAAGUUUAAUUACAGUUUAAAAACAUGGACGACAACGGUCAUGUAAACGCUUAAUAAAAUUCAGUGCAGCCGAGAGUGAUUACGGGUGGGCCUUCAUCGGGUACACAAUAUUGGUAAAAU